rnacentral:rRNA from 1 species
CACGUAGUUAGCCGGCGCUUAUUCUUCAGGUACCGUCAUUAGCCCCAGAUAUUAGCCGGAGCCGUUUCUUCCCUGACAAAAGAGCUUUACAACCCGAAGGCCUUCUUCACUCACGCGGCAUUGCUGGAUCAGGCUUGCGCCCAUUGUCCAAAAUUCCCCACUGCUGCCUCCCGUAGGAGUCUGGACCGUGUCUCAGUUCCAGUGUGGCUGGUCGUCCUCUCAGACCAGCUACUGAUCGUCGCCUUGGUGAGCCUUUACCCCACAACUAGCUAAUCAGACAUCGGCCGCUCCAAAAGCAUGAGGUCCGAAGAUCCCCCACUUUCUUCCGUAGAACGUAUGCGGUAUUAGCGCAACUUUCGCUGCGUUACUCCCCCACUUCUGGGUACUUCCGUAUGUAUUACUCACCCGUUCGCCACUCGCCACCAGGCCGAACGCCCGUGCUCGCCGUUCGACUUGCUAUGUAGUAAGCAGUGCCGCCAGCGUACAAUCUGA